ACCACUCUGAUUUCAUCCCCAUUUGCAGAAGCUCCUGAAGAUUCUGAUCCCACGAAGCCCAGACCUUCACCUGGUGAGUAACUGCUGAUCUUUGUAGAAGGAAAACACAGGCACAGGGAAUAGCAGGUGUAAAAGGCUUGAAGUAGACAGAAACUUCACCUGCCCACAGAGUGUCCAGGAGACCAUUCCUGUUUGCUGAGUCCAUGGCUUAAUUAGAGGGCAAUAGCAAGGAAAGAGCAGGAAGGGCUCCAGUGGAGCAGGCUGGAGGCACCGUCUCACUGCUCCUGUCUUUCUUGACCCCAGAAUUCCCUGGUGGGAUCACCACCGCACCCACAAUGACAGGAGGAAAGAAAGAGCCUGCUGCUUGGCAUCCUUCUGCAGAGAAUCAAGUCCGGCUGAGCCUAGCUGGCCUGAUUCUCUUGGUCCUGGGGGUCCUGUUGGCUGAGGCCUGCUACAGCUGGAAGAUGCCCUUAAAUGGAA